AUUGAACGCUGGCGGAAUGCUUUACACAUGCAAGUCGAACGGCAGCACGGGGCAACCUGGUGGCGAGUGGCGAACGGGUGAGUAAUACAUCGGAACGUGCCCAAUCGUGGGGGGAUAACGUAGCGAAAGUUACGCUAAUACCGCAUACGAUCUACGGAUGAAAGCGGGGGAUCGCAAGACCUCGCGCGAAUGGAGCGGCCGAUGUCAGAUUAGGUAGUUGGUGGGGUAAAGGCUCACCAGCCGACGAUCUGUAGCUGGUCUGAGAGGACGACCAGCCACACUGGGACUGAGACACGGCCCAGACUCCUACGGGAGGCAGCAGUGGGGAAUUUUGGACAAUGGGCGCAAGCCUGAUCCAGCCAUGCCGCGUGAGUGAAGAAGGCCU
rnacentral:rRNA from 1 species